AUUGAACGCUGGCGGCAGGCCUAACACAUGCAAGUCGAGCGGAUGAAGAGAGCUUGCUCUCUGAUUCAGCGGCGGACGGGUGAGUAAUGCCUAGGAAUCUGCCUGGUAGUGGGGGACAACGUCUCGAAAGGGACGCUAAUACCGCAUACGUCCUACGGGAGAAAGCAGGGGACCUUCGGGCCUUGCGCUAUCAGAUGAGCCUAGGUCGGAUUAGCUAGUUGGUGAGGUAAUGGCUCACCAAGGCGACGAUCCGUAACUGGUCUGAGAGGAUGAUCAGUCACACUGGAAAUGAGACACGGUCCAGACUCCUACGGGAGGCAGCGGUGGGGAAUAUUGGACAAUGGGCGAAAGCCUGAUCCAGCCAUGCCGCGUGUGUGAAGAAGGUCUUCGGAUUGUAAAGCACUUUAAGUUGGGAGGAAGGGCAGUAAAUUAAUACUUUGCUGUUUUGACGUUACCGACAGAAUAAGCACCGGCUAACUCUGUGCCAGCAGCCGCAGUAA
rnacentral:rRNA from 1 species